GAUGAACGCUGGCGGCGUGCCUAAUACAUGCAAGUCGAGCGAACGGACGAGAAGCUUGCUUCUCUGAUGUUAGCGGCGGACGGGUGAGUAACACGUGGAUAACCUACCUAUAAGACUGGGAUAACUUCGGGAAACCGGAGCUAAUACCGGAUAAUAUUUUGAACCGCAUGGUUCAAAAGUGAAAGAAGGUCUUGCUGUCACUUAUAGAUGGAUCCGCGCUGCAUUAGCUAGUUGGUAAGGUAACGGCUUACCAAGGCAACGAUGCAUAGCCGACCUGAAAGGGUGAUCGGCCACACUGGAACUGAGACACGGUCCAGACUCCUACGGGAGGCAGCAGUAGGGAAUCUUCCGCAACGGGCGAAAGCCUGACGGAGCAACGCCGCGUGAGUGAUGAAGGUCUUCGGAUCGUAAAACUCUGUUAUUAGGGAAGAACAUAUGUGUAAGUAACUGUGCACAUCUUGACGGUACCUAAUCAGAAAGCCACGGCUAACUACGUG
rnacentral:rRNA from 1 species